UCUCUUGCAGACGAGCCUGACGAGCCGUGUUUUGUGAGUAUGAUCGGUGACGUGGCAAGCUAUGAUUCGUUCAUAUUUUUGUAUACAUUCUAAUUUUAUUCGACUUCAUUUUUUCGCGAGACAACUACACAUUCAUUUCCUCUUCUCUUCACCGAGGUCUCGAUUCUGCGGCGAAAUCGGUUCACUGUCUCGUAUCUAACCGACGAAUCGGUUCACUGUCUCCGCCGUGAUGAGUAAGGAAAAAGUAGUGUCUUUGUCGAUGCAGUCAAUAUCGAUGACGAUGAUCGAAUCAGCACACUCCCAUACAAGGUGUUGCUUAAUAUCUUAUCGAGACUGCCCAUCAAUGAAGCCGUGAGGACAAAAGUUCUAUCAAUUCGAUGGGUGGAUUUGGAUCCGGGAAUCUUGAUGUUCUGAUGAAAUUAAUAUUUGAAAGAGAAAACCCUUUGCAAACUGUUUGCCUGUUUGUUUUUUUUCUUGUUAUAAUAAAUUGGAAAUUCUAUAUUUGGUUCGAAGAAUUAUCUUUGGUAUUUGUUUUUAUGUUUGAGAUGUUUGGGAUCUAAUUUUAUCAAUUUUCAUAUUAUAUGAAUGUCUUGUGGA